CCCACUUCUCAGGCCCAGAGUCAUUGAGAGGAUGAAACCUCAGAAAGCAUUUAUCACAGAGCCUGGCUAAUUUUGACAGGCAUCAUUUCAUGAAAUCCGUUAUCAUGGACAGGAAAGAAAAGUGUGCCUGCAUGUAUGGUUUGCGAACUGACACGGGACCCUGGUGCUUGGUACUUGGUUUGAUCAGGACAUCUGAUCUGCCAGGAGUUCCAGCUGAGUUGCAACUCCAGGAGGCAGGUGACUGUGCUGCAGAGUAUGGGGUGAGCUGCCUGUAAGCCUGAAGUGUGCAACCUCAUGAAUGUGCUGGCUUCUUCCGGUGGGCUUGAYACCCGAUUAUGGCUUUCAG
rnacentral:lncRNA from 1 species